AGACUCUGUCUCAACAAAAACAAAAAAAAAGAUAUGGUCAUUAUUAAAUCUUUCGCCUUUUACUAAAGAUUUCCGUGGAGAGGAACAAUUGUGAGUUCACCACCAAAUUUUUUGACGUCCUGCUUAGAGGGGGC
rnacentral:snRNA from 10 species